UAGUUGGUGGAGUGAUUUGUCUGGUUAAUUCCGUUAACGAACGAGACCUCAGCCUACUAAAUAGUUAGGCGAAUCUCUGGAUUCGUCGCCAACUUCUUAGAGGGACAAUUUGUAUCUAGCGAAUGGAAGUUUGAGGCAAUAACAGGU
rnacentral:rRNA from 1 species